AAAAGACGAAACCUGACCCUGGAUCAGGCCUCUCAAUGGGCCACGUCGACUGUUUUUUUCUUGCCGUCUGAUUUUGAUCGAGCCAUCCAAAAGCGAGCGUAGCAUCCGGCGUUUCCAUAGCCGUCCCGAGCGCUGUCUCCCUCAAUCGGGCGGCUCGUUGCCCCUUCCCCGCCUCGCAGCCGCACCCCCACCGGCGGCGCUCGUCCAAGCAGCAGCUGUGGCACGGAGUCCCUAGAACUAGUAUUCCUCCCGCCAUCCACCGUGCGAUCCGAGUACGGGGCUGGGCGCUCCGCGCCGAGAAAGAUUGAGGCGGCCGGAGGUGCGCGGCUGAGGAACGAGGCGUGGCAGCCGCAGAGCACGAAUCGCCUCCAUCGCUAGGAAAGAGCGCACAUAUGGCCGGAGGAAGGGCAAUUAGGCUCGUCGUUGCUGGAUUUUCUCCUCCCUCCGGUCGUAUUCGAUGCUCCGGAAGAGCCGCAGCGUCUGCGCUGAGCUAAGAAAGCACAUGCGACGAAGCAGGCAAGUAGGAUCGCGGCUCCACCGCACCCCUACCUGUAUGCCCUCCGCUUCGCAAAGCGCAGCCGGCCAUUGCUCCGACAGGCCGAGCGGCCGUCAACACCGACGAUGCCCAACAGUUGCUCGAUGAAAUGUCUUCAAGGAAAGCUGGCUGGACCACAGACGUCCCGCGGCCAUGUCUUGCUCGCAUUCGAUGAAGCCUGCUGCUGCUGCAAGACGUACAAGCUCCAAGAGCUAAUGAAUAAUGAGCUGUGCUAUUCCUCAAUGCACGGUGUCACAGACAGCAGGUCACAGAACACGGAUGGCAAAGACAGGACCUCUUAAGCCCCAACACAAUCUAUGAUAAAUAUGUAUGUAAGCAUGAAGACUGUGCUGCAUCUAGGUAUUCCACAGUACUGCUCUGUAAACAAAUGUGACAACCUACAAUUGAUAUUUUACUUAUAUACCAUUACUUGACAAAUAAAAUGCGCCUUUGUUUUAUCA